CUGGCGGCGUGCUUAACACAUGCAAGUCGAACGGAAAGGCCUUGCUUUUGUGGGGUGCUCGAGUGGCGAACGGGUGAGUAACACGUGAGUAACCUGCCCUUGACUUUGGGAUAACUUCAGGAAACUGGGGCUAAUACCGGAUAGGAGCUCCUGCUGCAUGGUGGGGGUUGGAAAGUUUCGGCGGUUGGGGAUGGACUCGCGGCUUAUCAGCUUGUUGGUGGGGUAGUGGCUUACCAAGGCUUUGACGGGUAGCAGGCCUGAGAGGGUGACCGGCCACAUUGGGACUGAGAUACGGCUCAGACUCCUACGGGGGGCAGCAGUGGGGAAUAUUGCACAAUGGGCGGAAGCCUGAUGCAGCAACGCCGCGUGCGGGAUGACGGCCUUCGGGUUGUAAACCGCUUUCGCCUGUGACGAAGCGUGAGUGACGGUAAUGGGUAAAGAAGCACCGGCUAACUACGUGCCAGCAGCCGCGGUGAUACGUAGGGUGCGAGCGUUGUCCGGAUUUAUUGGGCGUAAAGGGCUCGUAGGUGGUUGAUCGCGUCGGAAGUGUAAUCUUGGGGCUUAACCCUGAGCGUGCUUUCGAUACGGGUUGACUUGAGGAAGGUAGGGGAGAAUGGAAUUUCCUGGUGGAGCGGUGGAAUGCGCAGAUAUCAGGAGGAACACCAGUGGCGAAGGCGGUUCUCUGGGCCUUUCCUGACGCUGAGGAGCGAAAGCGUGGGGAGCGAACAGGCUUAGAUACCCUGGUAGUCCACGCUGUAAACGGUGGGUACUAGGUGUGGGGUCCAUUCCACGGGUUCCGUGCCGUAGCUAACGCUUUAAGUACCCCGCCUGGGGAGUACGGCCGCAAGGCUAAAACUCAAAGGAAUUGACGGGGCCCCGCACAAGCGGCGGAGCAUGCGGAUUAAUUCGAUGCAACGCGUAGAACCUUACCUGGGUUUGACAUGGAUCGGGAGUGCUCAGAGAUGGGUGUGCCUCUUUUGGGGUCGGUUCACAGGUGGUGCAUGGCUGUCGUCAGCUCGUGUCGUGAGAUGUUGGGUUAAGUCCCGCAACGAGCGCAACCCUUGUUCACUGUUGCCAGCACGUUAUGGUGGGGACUCAGUGGAGACCGCCGGGGUCAACUCGGAGGAAGGUGGGGAUGACGUCAAGUCAUCAUGCCCCUUAUGUCCAGGGCUUCACGCAUGCUACAAUGGCUGGUACAGAGAGUGGCGAGCCUGUGAGGGUGAGCGAAUCUCGGAAAGCCGGUCUCAGUUCGGAUUGGGGUCUGCAACUCGACCUCAUGAAGUCGGAGUCGCUAGUAAUCGCAGAUCAGCAACGCUGCGGUGAAUACGUUCCCGGGGCUUGUACACACCGCCCGUCAAGUCAUGAAAGUUGGUAACACCCGAAGCCGGUGGCCUAACCGUUGUGGGGGAGCCGUCGAAGGUGGGACUGGUGAUUAGGACUAAGU
rnacentral:rRNA from 1 species